rnacentral:rRNA from 1 species
AUGGCGGAGCCGGAGGCGGCGGACGGCGGCGGCUGGCAGGAGAUGAUGCGGCGGAUCCUUCCCCCCGGCGCCCCCGUCCCGGAGGAGGCGCCCAACCUCGACUACUCCAUCGCGCUCGUGUACGACGGCCCGCCGGUGCCCUACGACCUCCCCCGGGUGGACCCGGUGGAGAUCCCCGCCGAGAUCCCCACGGCGGAGCCGGCAUCGGGGCCCCAGACCCUCGGGAGCGGGGGACGAGGGCUUCCCGUGGCGCCGGUGGUCGAGCCGAUCCGCCUCCCGGUGUCCCGGAUCGCCCGGUGCGCGGAGCCUGCGGCGGCGGCCGCCAGGCAGGGCGGCGACGGAAGCUCGGAGUCGGUCAACUCGGUGCUGCAGAACGGGGAGUUCGACGAUGAGGACGACGACUCCCGGUCCCGGUCGCACGGCUCGGCGCAGAGCUCGCCGGGGCCGGGGAGCCGGGACGGGAGGAGGGCGCCCGUGGUGACCUUCGGGUUCACGCCGGACAGCAAGUACGGCGAGAGCGGCGACGACAUGUCGGAGCAGUACGUGGCGGUCACCAAGCAGGAGAAGAGGCGGCGCCGGAGGAGGAUGGCGUGCAACCGGUGUGGGAAGCGGAAAUGGGAGAGCAAGGAGGCCUGCAUCGUCUGCGACGCGAGGUACUGCGGCUACUGCGUGCUGAGGAUGAUGGGGUCGAUGCCCGAAGGGCGCAAGUGCGUCAGUUGCAUUGGGGGGCCGAUCGACGAGUCGAAGAGGUCCAAGCUCGGGAAGAGCUCCAGGACACUCGCGCGCUUGCUCAGCCCGUUGGAAGUGAGGCAGAUUUUGAAAGCCGAGAAGGAGUGCCAAGCGAACCAGCUUCGGCCAGAGCAGCUUAUCGUGAACGGCUGCCCGUUGAGGCCGGAGGAGCUGACCGACUUGCUUAGCUGCUCGCGGCCACCUCAGAAGCUCAAGCCUGGAAGAUACUGGUACGACAAGGAGUCGGGCUUAUGGGGAAAGGAUGGACAAAAGCCAGACAGGAUUGUUAGCUCCAACCUCAAUUUCAGCGGGAAGCUUCAUGCCAAGGCUAGCAACGGCAACACCCAGGUUUAUAUAAAUGGAAGGGAAAUUACAAAGAGUGAGCUGAAAAUUCUCAAGGUUGCACAUGUUCAGUGUCCACGUGAUACACAUUUCUGGGUUUAUGACGAUGGUCGUUAUGAGGAAGAAGGACAGAACAACAUCAAAGGAAAAAUAUGGGAGUCAGCCUUGACACGUUUUGCAUGUGCGCUGUUCUCACUUCCGGUGCCUCCUGGGGACUCUAAUGGAACCAAGGACGAAAUUCCCUUUGUACCAAGAACUGUCCCUGAUUAUUUGGAUCAGAAAAGAAUCCAAAAACUAUUGCUUCUUGGACCACCUAGUGCUGGUACAAGCACUAUAUUUAAGCAGGCUAAGUACCUCUAUGGAACAAGGUUCACCCAAGAUGAACUUGAUGCUAUCAAAUUAAUGAUCCAAAGCAAUAUGUUCAAGUAUCUUGGAAUUUUGCUAGAAGGCCGUGAGCGUUUUGAGGAAGAGGCUUUGUCUAGAUUGGAUCAAACAACUUCGGAGGAUGAAGCAGCACAAAAAGAUGAAAAUAAAGCUAAUGGUCCAGAUUCGUGUAUAUACUCAAUAAAUGCAAGGCUGAAGAAAUUCUCCGAUUGGCUUUUGGAUAUCAUAGCAAUGGGCGAUCUAGAUGCAUUCUUCCCUGCCGCAACACGUGAAUAUGCUCCAUUUGUCGAGGAGAUGUGGAAGGAUCCUGCCAUACAAGCAACAUAUAAAAGAAAGGAUGAGUUACAUUUCCUCCCUGAUGUUGCUGAGUACUUCUUGAGCAGGGCUAUUGAGGUAUCAAGCAAUGAGUAUGAACCUUCAGAGAAAGAUGUGAUCUUUGCUGAAGGAGUAACACAGGGGAAUGGGUUGUCUUUCAUCGAGUUCACCCUUGAUGAUCGCAGCCCCAUGUCCGAACCUUACAUCGACAACCCAGAGGCGCAUUCUCAGCCUCUCACCAAGUUUCAGCUGAUCAGAGUCAGCGCCAAGGGCAUGAAUGAUGGCUGCAAGUGGGUGGAAAUGUUUGAGGAUGUCCGCAUGGUGAUAUUCUGCGUCGCACUCAGUGACUAUGACCUAGUGGGAACCCCUGUGAAUGGCAAUCUUCAGAACAAGAUGAUGCAGAGCAAAGAGUUAUUUGAGGCUACUAUCAGGCAACCAUGCUUCUGCGACACGCCGUUCGUGCUUGUGCUCAACAAGUACGACCUGUUCGAGGAGAAGAUCAGCCGUGCCCCGCUGACGGCGUGCGAGUGGUUUGCCGACUUCUCCCCGGUGCGGACGCAGAGCAACAACCAGUCGCUCGCCCAGCAGGCCUACUACUACGUGGCGAUGAAGUUCAAGGAGGCGUACAACGAGCACACGGGGCGGAAGCUGUUCGUGUGGCAGGCGCGGGGGCGCGACCGGCAGACGGUGGACGAGGCCUUCAAGUACAUCCGGGAGGUGCUCAAGUGGGAGGAGGAGAAGGACGAUAACUACUACCAGGAGGAGUCCUUCUACAGCACCACCGAGAUGAGCUCCUCCCCCUUCAUCCGAGCCGAAUGA